CGCUUAUCCUCUUCCUUUCUUUUUUCGUACGAGCUUCUUUUCUUUGAUCUUAGUUGUUAAACAAUCCACUAAAAUCAAAGUUUAUAAUAAAGCCGAUAAGAAUCUACAAUGAUUCCAAGUAUGAACACCUUGAAGACUCUUUUUAAAAAAAUAGACACAACUGAUGCUAAAAGAAAAGCAAUUAUAGUUUAUGAUUAUAUUAACUCUCCUAAAGUUCGCGGCGUUGCUCGGCAGUUGGCUAUGGAUCUCGCGCCUCCUUCUCCCUCUACUUUUCCUCAGUUUAAAAAUUCGCUAACUACCGGAGUUCAAUGUCUUCUACAACGAAAAUUUCUCGAUUUAACUUUUAAAGAAUUUAUAGCCAAAACUUUGGUUGGAGUUGAAUUGUACUGCUGGUUUAAAUUUGGAGAAGUAUUAGGCCGGAAGCAUUUGAUCGGUUAUGCUGAUCGA